AUCGUAGGUCAAAAGGUAAAGAUCCUAAUUAUUUAAUAAAAAGGAUUUUUCUGAUAGGAAUUUUAUUUUGAAUAUACAAAUGAGCAAAAUAAUUUAUCUAUGCAAAUAUUAUUAAAUCGUUUCUGCUUCUUACAAUUCAAUUGUUGGAGUGGGGUAGAUUUAGGGACUGGGGUGGAUCUUAAGAAGUAUUAAGCAUUCAUUGAUUUCCUUUUUUAGUUAUUUCUUUUUGUUUUUUUUACAAAUUAAAAGAAAAUUCUUAUUUAUAGCUAGAACCAAGCCGUGGCAUAGAAACAGUUUGAGGUCAACUUUCCCUUUCAUCCUUUUGAAGCUGUUAGGGAUCAAUGAAGACAAUGAGUUCGCUCCACUAAAAUUGCAGGCCUUGUGCCUAAAGUAGAAAGUUAUUCCAGAAACAUUUAUUCUUAGGGAAGUGAAUCAUGUUGAGCAAAAUGCAGAGCAGCAUUUCGUCCAUCUUUAGGUUCUGAGUUCAACUUUGCCUUGCAUCCUUCUAGGGUUGAUAAAAUUCUAGGGUUGAUAAAAUAAGUACCAGUUGAGCACUGGGGGUCGAUGCAAUCAACUUACCCCUUCCCCCAGAACUGCUGACCUUCUGCUAAAGUUGGUGGAUUAACACUCAUUAGAGCAUUGGGAAAAAAGCUUUCUAACUCCUUAUAUUCUGAGUUCAAAUCCCAGCAAAGUCAACUUUACCUUUGACUCUCCCAGAAUCAUUAAAAUAAAGUACUAGUCAAGUACUGGCUACUCCUCCCCUAAAAUUGCUGGUCUUGUGCCAAAAUUUGAAACCAUUAUUGUCAAAUGAUGAGUGGUAAAGCAAUGAACAGAAUGUCUUCUGUUAUUUAGCCACAACCAGUAUUCUCUGAAGUGGUGGGCAUUAGGAAGGGCAUCCAGCUGCAGAAGCCAUGCCUAAACAAACACGGGUUCAGUAAAGUCCUCUGGCUUGCCAGCCCCUGUCAAACCAUUCAACUCAUGCCAGCAUAAAACAGGCAUCAGAUGGUGAUCCCUUUACAUUCUGUUAUGGCUUUGUACCUUCUGAGUCUUGCAGAGGUCAGCUGUUGAUUUUUAUCCUUGUGCGCAGUCAAUAAUUUAAAGUACCUAUUAAAAAUUGGGGUCAAUAUAAUUGACUCACCACUGUAUUUUGUCCCAUUAAGAAUAAUUACAGAUUGACAGAAUCAGUCAAGCAUAAAUUCUUUGUGGUAUUUGUUCCCGCUCUUUAACCCUACCAAGAGUAACAUUGCCUUUCAUCCAUCCCUCUGGGUGGGUGAAAUAAAGUACUAGUCAAGUACUGGGUUGAUGGCAACGAGUAUCCCCUCUCUCCCAAAAUUGUUGGUUUCAUGACUAAAUCAGAAACAGUUGUAAUUUGUAGUGCAUUGGCAGAACUAUUACAACAUUGGGGAAGAAAUGUUUUGCAGAAUUUAUUCUAGCUCUUUACAUUCUGAGUUCAUGAGUUCAAAUCCUACUAAGGUCUACAAUGUUUUUCAGUGGGGGUCAGUGAAACAAAGUACUGGUCAAAUACUGAUUAGGUUAAUGGUAUCAACAACACUGUCUCUUCUCUAUAAUUGCUGGCUUUGGGCUGACAUAAUCGUUAGGACACUGGACAGAAUGUUUAGUGGUAUUUCAUUUGUCUUUAUGUUCUGUGUUCAAAUUCUGCAAAGUUUGGCUCUGCCUUCCGGGGGGUGGGGGGGUCAUGUAAUCAACCCCCUUCCACAUAUUUCCUGGCCUUGUGCCUCUCGUAGAAAGGAUUCUUACUAUUAAUGUAAUAUUAUUAUUAGAAGUAAUAUUUAUUUUUCUCAGAACAAGUUUGUCUCAAAAUCUUUUGCCUGUAUCUAGCUAGGUUUUGUUAAUUAAAUAAAAGGAACCGAUAAAAGAAUUUAAGAAUGAAGGAGAAACUACUCUAAGGAUAUUUUUUUCUGAAUGACCCAAGGCUGGAGACAAUUUUAGGGAUAAGAUGAAAUUAUCGAGGUUAACUUUUAUUUUUAGUCAUUUUUGGCCUAACUUUUUAUUUAUAUGGGUGGAAAAAUUUGCUUAGAAUGCAAAAUUAAUGUUGAUUGCAUAGGUUACUCCACUGUUUCUGACUGGUUGACUUCCAAUCUUGUUGGCAAUAUUUCAACAAGGUAACAUUGUAUUAAAAACACACACAUUAUCUAUCAUUCUCUCUUUCUUCUCCCCCCCCCUCCUUGCUAUCGCUCGUUUUUGUUUGUUUUUCUUUUCAUUAUUUACUGUAUGUUUAUUGCAAAUUUUCUCUGACUGGCUGGUUAACAAUUCUCACAAACCGUCCCAAGUAAAAGAAAAAAUACAAACUGCUAUUUUUAAUGGCUCCAGGGUGUUUCCUCCCUCUCCAAUCCUUCCCCUCCCCCUUUUUUUUUACACUCACAAAAUCUUUGGAUAGCCCUCUGGUGAGCUUGGUUCUCUUCUGUUAGCCUGCAAUUUCUUUGUUAUUUUUUUAGCUGAGAAAUUUAACCCUCACCUUAAUGGAAUAAUAUUAACAAUGAUAAAGAAGACAGACAUUAUACUUUAAUUAUUAAAUGUGUAAAGAACAUUCUGGAAAGACUUCUUCAGUUUGAAAAAAAAAAUAUAAUCAACA
rnacentral:lncRNA from 1 species